GUCGAGAGUCUUCGGGACUCGGCAGACGGCUCAGUAACACGCGGAUAAUCUGCCCUUGGGUGGGGAAUAAUCUCGGGAAACUGAGCAUAAUACCCCAUAGGCCUGAGAUGCUGGAACGCCCUCAGGCAAAAAGCUCCGGCGCCCAAGGAUGAGUCUGCGGCCUAUCAGCUUGUAGUUGGUGUAAAUGACCAACUAGGCGACGACGGGUACGGGCAUUGGGAGAUGUAGCCCGGAGAUGGACUCUGAGACACGAGUCCAGGCCCUACGGGGCGCAGCAGUCGCGAAAACUUCACAAUGUGGGAAACCGCGAUGAGGGGAUUCCAAGUGCUUGCGUUUUGCGUAAGCUGUUCUCCUGCCUAAAAAGCAGGGGGAGUAAGGGCUGGGUAAGACGGGUGUCAGCCGCCGCGGUAAUACCCGCAGCCCAAGUGGUGGUCGAUAUUAUUGAGCUUAAAGCGUCCGUAGCCUGUCUGGUAAAUUCUUGGGUAAAUCGUGCAGCUUAACUGUCCGAAUUCCGGGGAGACUGCCAGACUUGGGACCGGGAGAGGUUGGAGGUACUCCUGGGGUAGGGGUAAAAUCCCGUAAUCCUGGGAGGACCAUCAGUGGCGAAGGCGUCCAACUGGAACGGAUCCGACGGUCAGGGACGAAGCCCUGGGUCGCGAACUGGAUUAGAUACCCAGGUAGUCCAGGGUGUAAACGCUGCAGACUUGGUGUCGGAGGUCCUACGAGGGCGUCCGGUGCCGGAGAGAAAUUGUUAAGUCUGCCGCUUGGGGGAGUACGUCCGCAAGGAUGAAACUUAAAGGAAUUGGCGGGA
rnacentral:rRNA from 1 species